GACGAACGCUGGCGGCGUGCCUAAUACAUGCAAGUAGGACGCAGUUGCGAACGGGUGAGUAACGCGUAGGUAACUACCUAUUAGAGGGGGAUAACUAUUGGAAACGAUAGCUAAUACCGCAUACUAGUAGAUGGACCUGCGUUGUAUUAGGUAGUAGGUAGGGUAAUGGCCUACCUAGGCAACGAUACAUAGCCGACCUUGUAUGUUGACCGGGCCACCGGGAGCUGGGAAACGGCCCAGACUCCUACGGGAGGCAGCAGUAGGGAAUCGUCGGCAAUGGGGGGAACCCUGACCGAGUAACGCCGCGGGCGUGUAGAAGGUUUUCGGAUCGUAAAGCUCUGUUGUUAAGGAAGCGGUACUUAACCAGAAAGGGACGGCUAACUACGUGCCAGCAGCCGCGGUAAUUC
rnacentral:rRNA from 1 species